rnacentral:rRNA from 1 species
AGUGGAUGGGGAGCAACCUAGUUGUGCGUGUGUAAAGGUAGUGCCAAGAAAAGCGAUGAUCAUGUUGAAAAUCAAUUCCCGGUACCCGAAAUCGACACAGUGGGCAAGUAGAGAAUACUAAGGGGCGCGAGGUCACUCUCUCCAAGGAACUCGGCAAAAUGACCCCGUAACUUAGGGAGAAGGGGUGCCACCGAGAGGUGGUCGCAGUGAAGAGGCCCAGGCGACUGUUUAGCAAAAACAUAGGUCUCUGCAAACUCGAAAGAGGAGGUAUAGGGGCUGACGCCUGCCCAGUGCCGGAAGGUUAAAGAAGUUGGUCAGUUUUAGGAUGAAGCUAGCGACUGAAGCCCCGGUGAACGGCGGCCGUAACUAUAACGGUCCUAAGGUAGCGAAAUUCCUUGUCGGGUAAGUUCCGACCCGCACGAAAGGCGUAACGAUCUGGGCGCUGUCUCGGAGAGAGGCUCGGCGAAAUAGGAUUGUCUGUGAAGAUACGGACUACCUGCAUUUGGACAGAAAGACCCUAUGAAGCUUUACUAUAGCUUGGAAUUGUGUUCGGGCUUCCUGUGCGCAGGAUAGGUGGGAGGCGUAGAAGGUAUUCUCGUGGGGAUACUGGAGCCAACGGUGAGAUACCACUCUCAGGAGGCUAGAAUUCUAACUUAAUUAAGGACAGUUUCAGGUGGGUAGUUUGACUGGGGCGGUCGCCUCCAAAAAGGUAACGGAGGCGUACAAAGGUUCCCUCAGACUGGUUGGAAAUCAGUCGAAGAGUGCAAAGGCAGAAGGGAGCUUGACUGCGAGAAGUACAGUUCGAGCAGGGUGGAAACACGGUCUUAGUGAUCCGACGGUGCUGUGUGGAAGGGCCGUCGCUCAACGGAUAAAAGUUACUCUAAGGAUAACAGGCUGAUCUCCCCCAAGAGUUCACAUCGACGGGGAGGUUUGGCACCUCGAUGUCGGCUCAUCGCAACCUGGGGCGGAAGUACGUCCCAAGGGUUGGGCUGUUCGCCCAUUAAAGCGGUACGUGAGCUGGGUUCAGAACGUCGUGAGACAGUUCGGUCCAUAUCCGAUGUAGGCGUGAGAAUAUUGAGAGGAGCCUUCCUUAGUACGAGAGGACCGGGAAGGACGCACCGCUGGUGUACCUGUUAUGAUGCCAAUUGUAAACGCAGGGUAGCCAAGUGCGGAGAGGAUAACCGCUGAAAGCAUCUAAGUGGGAAGCCCACCUCAAGAUGAGUAUUCUGGUGUAAGGUCACGGGAAGACGACCCGUAAAUAGGCACGAGGUGGAAGUGCAGAGAUGUAUGAAGCCGAAGUGUACUAAUAGACCGUCGGCUUGAUC